UACAGAGGUCUCAAGCGUUUGUUCGGAUUCAUUGGGCGUAAAGGGUGCGUAGGCGGCGCGGUAAGUCGGGUGUGAAAUUUCGAGGCUUAACUUCGAAACUGCAUUCGAUACUGCCGUGCUUGAGGACUGGAGAGGAGACUGGAAUUUACGGCGUAGCGGUGAAAUGCGUAGAUAUCGUAAGGAAGACCAGUGGCGAAGGCGGGUCUCUGGACAGUUCCUGACGCUGAGGCACGAAGGUCAGGGGGAGCAAACAGG
rnacentral:rRNA from 1 species